AGCAGCCGCGGUAAUUCCAGCUCCAAUAGCGUAUAUUAAAGUUGUUGCAGUUAAAAAGCUCGUAGUUGAAUUUCGGGGUUAGUAGGUUGGUCAUGCCUCUGGUAUGUACUGGUCUCACUGAUUCCUCCUUCCUGAUGAACCUUAAUGCCAUUAAUUUGGUGUUUUGGGGAAUUUGGACUGUUACUUUGAAAAAAUUAGAGUGUUUAAAGCAAGCUAACGCUUGAAUACAUUAGCAUGGAAUAAUGAAAUAGGACGUUCGAUCCUAUUUUGUUGGUUUCUAGGAUUGACGUAAUGAUUAAUAGGGAUAGUUGGGGGCAUUAGUAUUCAAUUGUCAGAGGUGAAAUUCUUGGAUUAUUGGAAGACUAACUACUGCGAAAGCAUUUGCCAAGGAUGUUUUCAUUAAUCAAGAACGAAAGUUAGGGGAUCGAAGACGAUCAGAUGCCGUCGUAGUCUUAACCAUAAACUAUGCCGACUAGGGAUCGGAUGAUGUUAAUUUUUUUAGUGACUCAUUCGGCGCCUU
rnacentral:rRNA from 1 species